GUCGAGGUGUCCGAGUGGUUAAGGAGUGUGACUUGAAAUCACAUGGGAUUUCCCGCGUAGGUUCAAACCCUGCCCUCGACG